rnacentral:tRNA from 2 species
CCGCCCUUAGCUCAGUGGAUAGAGCAUCGGUUUUCUAAACCGAGGGUCCCAAGUUCGAGUCUUGGAGGGCGGGCCA